rnacentral:rRNA from 1 species
GUGCCAGCAGCCGCGGUAAUACGUAGGGCGCAAGCGUUAUCCGGAAUUAUUGGGCGUAAAGAGCUCGUAGGCGGUUCGUCGCGUCUGGUGUGAAAGCCCAUCGCUUAACGAUGGGUCUGCGCCGGAUACGGGCGGGCUUGAGUGCAGUAGGGGAGACUGGAAUUCCCGGUGUAACGGUGGAAUGUGUAGAUAUCGGGAAGAACACCAAUGGCGAAGGCAGGUCUCUGGGCUGUUACUGACGCUGAGGAGCGAAAGCGUGGGGAGCAAACAGGAUUAGAUACCCUGGUAGUCCACGCUGUAAACGAUGUCGAUUUGGAAUUUGCGGUCUUGAGCUGUGGGUUCCGGAGCUAACGCGUUAAAUCGACCGCCUGGGGAGUACGGUCGCAAGGUUAAAACUCAAAGAAAUUGACGGGGGCCCGCACAAGCGGCGGAGCAUGCGGAUUAA